AAGUAAAGAGCUAUUAGCGACUUAAUUUCGACUUAAGUUUAGGAAAAUGUAGUGAAGUUC
rnacentral:tRNA from 1 species